GGGGGGCUGCAAAGAGGACCACAUCCCCUCACCCCCCUGAAGCCUUUUCAUCCCUAAAGAGGACUGGCCCAGCCCCAGCCCGAAGGCCCUCAGUACCUGACGUGUUGUCAUGUGAAAUGCUGAUAAUAAGGUCUUUGGGGGCAUCUGCAACAAGAUUGUGAGCUGGCUUCAGGGAGGGACAAUUUGUUCCUCACACCUGGAAAAAACUCCCUCAGGGAAAAGAAAGUGGGAACAUCCCAGGAUGGACAAGUGACAACCAGCUCCAGGGCUCACACAUGUGGACAGAGGAUCAGACGCCAUUCCCAUCCCCCUCCCAGGGCUGAGCCGGCAUCCUGGGACCCCACAGCUUCCUCUCCCUGGAUGCUCCUGAGCUGGGAGCCACUCACUGUCCCGCUGGGCUCCUCCACCUCCCCACCCACCGGGGCUGUCUGCACGCCCCACCCUCCCAGGCCACACUCACAGGCCACACGGAGUCGGACGGUCCUCUGUGCGCUCACACCCUUUCUGGAGAAGUCCACAUGGCAGAAAGAACGCAUUGCUCAGGAAACUAUGUCUCACACGGCUUCCUCUCUCCACCCGAAAGAAGUACCAUGCCUCAUCCUCCCUCUGCGCGUCUCUGAUCACCAAGGAGCAGCUCCCUUUGCCGGGAUCCCCAGGGAAGCAGCAGGGCAGAGGGCAUGAGGACCAGCCCCAAACCAGGAAGGAGCCACCCUGGCCAGCCUCGGAGGUGGGCAGUGCUAGGAGGGGACUGUCAGGGG
rnacentral:lncRNA from 1 species